AUUGAACGCUGGCGGCAUGCCUUACACAUGCAAGUCGAACGGCAGCGGGGGAGAAGCUUGCUUUUCCUGCCGGCGAGUGGCGAACGGGUGAGUAUACAUCGGAACGUGCCCUGUAGUGGGGGAUAACUAGUCGUAAGAUUAGCUAAUACCGCAUACGACCUGAGGGUGAAAGUGGGGGACCGCAAGGCCUCAUGCUAUAGGAGCGGCCGAUGUCUGAUUAGCUAGUUGGUGGGGUAAAGGCCUACCAAGGCGACGAUCAGUAGCUGGGCUGAGAGGACGAUCAGCCACACUGGGACUGAGACACGGCCCAGACUCCUACGGGAGGCAGCAGUGGGGAAUUUUGGACAAUGGGCGAAAGCCUGAUCCAGCAAUGCCGCGUGUGUGAAGAAGGCCUUCGGGUUGUAAAGCACUUUUGUCCGGAAAGAAAUGGCUCUGGUUAAUACCUGGGGUCGAUGACGGUACCGGAAGAAUAAGGACCGGCUAACUACGUGCCAGCCGCCGCAGUAA
rnacentral:rRNA from 1 species